rnacentral:rRNA from 1 species
AUUGAACGCUGGCGGCAGGCCUAACACAUGCAAGUCGAACGAGUGGCGGACGGGUGAGUAAUGUCUGGGAAACUGCCUGAUAGAGGGGGAUAACUACUGGAAACGGUAGCUAAUACCGCAUAACAUCAGAUGUGCCCAGAUGGGAUUAACUAGUAGGUGGGGUAAAGGCUCACCUAGGCUACGCGCCCUAGCUUGUCUGAGAGGAUGACCCGCCACUACGGAACUGAGAAACGGUCCAGACUCCUACGGGAGGCAGCAGUGGGGAAUAUGUCACAAUGGGCGCAAGCAUGAUGCAGCCAGGCCGCGUGUAGGAAGAAGGGCUUCGGGUGGUAAAGUACUUUCAGCGGGGAGGCGUUACCCGCAGAAGAAGCACCGGCUAACUCCGUGCCAGCAGCCGCGGUAAGUC